rnacentral:lncRNA from 1 species
CCACAUCUGCGCGGGCGCCGUUCAUCCCACGGCGGAGGGCCCCUGCCAGGACUGCUCUGCCAGACCUCCCUAUUCCCCAUGGCGAGCCUCCUGUGCACCCCCUCCCUUUCCGACGAGUGCAUACGCAUAGCCGCAUACAGGUGAAUCAAUGCCGAGCGCAAACGAGAGUUAGAUAGGAGAGACAGUGUGGGUCGCUGCUGUUGCUCCCCGCUGCCUCCGUUGAACUCGUGACGCCUUCGCUGACGGGUCUUGGAGAUCCGCCCUUGUGCGGAGCUCGUGUUGGCAGGCUUCCUAGUUCGCGUGUGGCCUUGAUGGAUCGACGAUUUCUCGCCGGAUUUGGAAACCAGCCAUCCUGUCGCUCCCCCUCCGUCGACUUCAUAUCCCGGCAUGCCAAAUCCAGGUAUGGAGCAUGCAGCGGAAUUCGCCUCCGUCUUCUCUGCGCCUAGCACCUAGUUAAUUUCGGGUUCGUGCGCUUGGGUGCUGGCGUGAAUCUCGCCCGCCAUGGCGUCGCCGCCGCGCGGGCUGGCGCACCGCCGUCUCCGACCGGGGUGAGGGAAACGUGGGGCCAUUGAUCUCGUGUGUAGCGGCCAAGAUUUGGUGUUAGAGUAACUCGUCGUGAAGUCAAAUCUGGACCAUAGGUGUUAGAUCCGACCGCUGCUGUCGAGUACCGGUUCAUUCGUCGGGGAUCUAAUCUGGGUCGUCUGUUUUGAUCUGACGGCUCAGAUCAAGUGUUUCCCCUAGGCCGCGCCCAUUUUACAUAAGAACCCUCGCUGUUACACCAAAUCAACCCACAGUUCUGCGCUGUGGGCACCGAGUCUUGGGAAUUCUAAUGCAGAUGCCCCUGCCUUUCUCAGGAAUUAUGCGCGCAGUCCAGAGUAUUGGUAAAUCAGAGAAAAGAAUUAUAAAUUGAUUUUUGAAUAUAGAAAUAAUUGCAGAAACUUGUUUAAUUCCUAGAAAAUUCAUAUGAAGUCCAAAUUAAUCCAUUCCGAUCCCUAUAAUUUUGUAAUAUUAUUAUUUAUCAUGUAGUACUACUGUUUUGACAUGAAAGUCAAAUUAAAAUUUAUAUCAUAUUUAAUCUUGUACAAAACACAUAGAAUCUUCGGAAAUUCAUAACUCCUCCGUUUGAAUUCCGAAUUGACUCGUUCCAGUUACGUUAGUCUCGUAUAAAUUUUUACUAUGCAAUAACAACAUUUAUUUUACCAUGUUUUAUUCUUUUAUAACUAGACUUUUAUUUAACUUAUGUUAGUUAGUCUUGUUAAUCUGCUUAUCAUUAUAAUCUACUAAAAUAUGAUCUAUGGUCAAUUUAUAAUUUAUAUUAAAGUUGAAUUAAUUACUACUUUAGGUUAUCUUUUCUCUGGGAUUAUAAAAUAAACAUAGAACCUAGUUUGAAUCAUUUAAUCACCUCAUAACUUGAUGACCACGACUCCGAUCUUAGUAGUUCUCGAUCCCACGAUCUCGUAGCGACGUGUAGAUCAUUAUUAUGCAGUUUGUUCAUAUGUUUAGUGUGAUAUUAAUUUUGUCUAUACCAUGUCUGUUUGUAUUGCUACGACUAGCAGUGAGAUCGCGAGGAUCUGAAGAAUCAUCCUAGUACCUGGGAUCUCAAGUGUCAAGCAAGUUGUGUCUUUGAUCACAUUUAUUACCCAAUAAUGUUCUUUAUUAUCACUUAUUCAUGCAUAGGUUUAAUUUUGAUGGGACCCAAUAGGUCACCCUAGUCUGUUUAUCUUGUUAUCUUGUUUACCCCUGAAUCAUUUGGGUAGUUUUUGCUAUUGCCCUAUAUGUUUUUGGGAUUAAUACUACAUUAUGUCCAUGUUUCAAUUAUUCUGUUAUUUUAUUUAUGUUCAUGUCAAGAUCAUCAUUAUCUUUAAUUGGAACAUGGAGCUUAACUAGAGAAACAUGUGCCACCACAAGGGUGUAAUGGGACGCCCUUGGCUAACUAAUUAGGAAAGCUAGUGGAAGACUACCUUACCCGAAAGGGGCAAGGGAAGUAAGGGAGUUGCAUGCAGGGAGGUUCUCGGGUUGAUUUUGCCGCAAUGGCGGUCAGAAGAGGGAUUCUUGCAAGUGCUCUUUUCAUAAACUGUAGCGGGUUUUUGGAAGCUAGUGGAACUUUGUAAAGGCCUCGUAGUGGAUCCCUAGCCAUUCACCUCGGUAGUGUCUAAGGGUCUAUCUAACCCUGGCGACAUGGGAUACACGACUUGUGGGUACAGGGUACAACCUCUGCAGAGUGUAAAACUGGUAUACUAGCCGAGCUCACGGUCAUGAGCAGCUCAGGACUCUUGCAUGAUUAAUUUAUGGAACUUAAAUUCAAUUUGUCAUUUGCAUUGCAUGGGAUUAUUUAUUAAUUUUGUUCUAUUAUUUAUUAUGGUUUGGUAUUUACUUACACUUAGUAACUGCUAAUAAAAUUUUGACCAACAUAUUAAAAGCAAUGCUCAGCUUUAACCCCUAUUGUUGAUUAGCCUUACACAUCACAUGAACUCCCACCUUUGGUGAGUUCAUGCCACAUUAUUCCCCACAACUUGUUGAGUGAUGAACAUGUGUGAGCUCAUCCUUGCUGUCUCACACUCCCCCACAGGAGAAGAACAUGUGGUUCAAGUGGAGCCACGUAUCGAGGGGUUCGAUUCGAUCUAGGUGGCGUCUCCCAGUUGACUUUAUGGCGCCAAGGAUGGACUUUAGUUCGAUCUAUAUUUAUCUUCUAUUUUGUAAGACUUCCGCUAUGUAACAAUGUCGGGGACCAUAAUUAGGGGUACCCCCAAGACUCCUAAACUCGGCUGGUAACCACCAUCAGCACAAAGCUGCAAAGGCCUGAUGGGCGCAGUACAGGUCAAAGCUCUGCCCACUCAAGGGACACGAUCUCGCCUCGCCCGAGCCCAGCCUCGGACACGAACAGCAGACCCAGGUGGAUUCACGUCUCGCCCGAGGGCCUCCUCAAGCAACGGGCGCACCUUCGAACUCGCCCGAGGCCCAGCUCGGGCAGGCUUCGCGGAGAAGCAACCUUGGCCAGAUCACCUCGCCAACCGACCGUAUCGCAGGAGCAUUCAAUACAAGGAUUGUCUGACACCUUAUCCUGACGCACGUUCCUCAGUCGACAGGGCCGAAGUGACCGCAGUCACUUCGCCCCUCCACUGACUGACCUGACAGGAAAACAGCGCCGCCUGCCCCUGCUCCGACUGCUGUGCCACCCGCCAGGGUGAGGCUUACAGCAGCCAAGUCCAGCCUCAGGCGCCAUAGGAAGCUCUGCCUCGCCCGACCCCAAGGCUCGGCCCCCGCCUCGACCUCGGACGACGGACUCCGCCUCGCCCGACCCAAGGGCUCGGACUCAGCCUCGACCUCGGACGACGGACUCCGCCUCGCCCGACCCUAGGGCUCGGACUCAACCUCGACCUUGGACGACGGACUCCGCCUCGCCCGACCCAAGGGCUCGGACUCAACCUCGACCCCGGAAGACGGUCUCCGCCUCGCCCGACCCCAGGACUCGGACUCAGCCUCGCCCUCGGAGGAGUCACCGCCUCGCCCGACCUUGGGCUCGGACCGACCACGUUACAAGGGGGGCCCAUCAUACCCUACCCCUAGCUAGCUCAGGCUAUGGGGAACAAGACCGGCGUCCCAUCUGGCUCGCCCCGGUAAACAAGUAAUGAUGGCACCCCGCGUGCUCCAUGACGACGGCGGUUCUCAGCCCCUUACGAAAGCAAGGAGACGUCAGCAAGGACCCGACAGCCCCGACUGCUGUGCUUCUACAGGGCUCAAGCGCUCCUUCGAUGGCCACGACAUCACAUGAACAGGGCACCAACACCUCUCCAACAGCCACGUCGGCAUGUACAUAGGGCUCUGGCUCCUCUCUGCUAGACACGUUAGCACAUUGCUACACUCCCCAUUGUACACCUGGGCCUUCUCCUUACGUCUAUAAAAGGAAGUUCCAGGGCCCUCGUACGAGGGGGUGGCCGCGCGGGACAACGGGCUGACGGACAGGCUCUCACUCUCUCUCUCUCUCCCUCGCGAACGCUUGUAACCCCCUACUGCAAGCGCAUCCGCCCUGGGCGCAGGAUAACACGAGCCGCAGUUCCCUCUUUUGUUCCCCCUUGUGUUCCAUCUCGCGCCAACCCAUCUGGGCUGGGACACGCAGCGACAAUUUACUCGUCGGUCCAGGGACCCCCCGGGGUCGAAACGCCGACAGUUGGCACGCCAGGUAGGGGACUGCUGCGUGUUGACGAACAACUUCCUAUGAAGCUCCAGAUGGGUAGUCUCCAACAACCUCUCCAGCCCGGGACACUGCUCUGUUUUGGGAGUCUCGAGUUCAUGUCCCUCGACGGCAGCUACGACAUGGUACUCCUUCCUCCGCCGCGCGACAACGACAAUGGCGGCCGUCAGCCCGCCCGCCGGCGGUGGAAUCAACGACGUCUUCCCCGCGUGGCGGAAGAGCAGCAUCCGGGUCUGUCCCGUCACCUUCCCCGCCGACGGAGAAGGAGGCGGAGCAACCAUGGCCAAGCAGGAGGCGGCACCUCGUCGGCUGUCGAGCGAGUCGACGACGCCGGCGUCCUAGCGGGGGACACGUCGGGCGUUGACCUCGCGUCUGAGACGAAGACGAGCGUCGUUUCCCCGCAACACGCCAACCCCAAGCGGACGGAUGAUGCCAGCACGCUCGCGAAGGACUUGCUGGGCGUUAGCCUCGUACCUGAGAUAACGGUGCAGUCCGUCCCUGACGCGACUUCGUCACCAUCCGUCGAUCAAGAGGUAUCGUUCGUUUUCCACCCUGUGCCUUUUAGAUUCAGCUUCGACCCACCAAGCGACCCCGCUUCGGUGGACGCUUUCAUAAAGGCAUAUCCUAACCUUCCGGUGUACCAUAUGUGGUCAACCUGGGACCGACUGACGGCCGUCUCGACCUGCGGGCCCCCGGGUUCCGAGGAAGAUGACGAGCCUGACUCUGGUUGGGAUUUCUCUAGGCUCGGUAACCCCGGUGCCAUGCGGGACUUCAUGACCGCAUGUGACUACUGCCUCUCCGAUUGCUCCGAUGGUGGCCACAGCCUUGACGACGAGGACUGUGGCCAAGUCGCGAAUGUUUCCACAUCGAUCUAGGGGGUCUCGACGAAGGCAACCAUCUUGGUAUGCCAGAGGACGGCGAUCCCCCUAGGCCUGCGCCUCGCGUUGACAUCCUUCGGGAGCUAGUUGUGGUCCCAGUCCCUGUGGGGGGUCAGAACGCACAGCUCGAGCAAAUCCGCGAGAUGCAGGCCAGGCUCGACGAGGAAGCAGGACAACUUGUGCAGCUCCGGCAGAACAUCAGGCAAGAGUGGGCAGGUCGAGCACCAGCCAGAGAAGUGCGUCAUCUGGCCCAGGACGUACAGCACCGCAUCGCCGACGAUGCCAGGGCAAGGCUGCCCCCGGCUUCAAGUGGGGUCGGCCAGAACCUGGCUGCAGCGUCAAUACUACUCUGAGCAAUGCCGGAGCCAUCCACCACCGAGGGGCGGCGUAUCUAGGGAGAGCUCAAGAAUCUCCUGGAGGAUGCCGCGGUCCGGCGGGCCGAAAGCUCUGCCUACCAAAGACAGGGGUACCCCUCGGAGCAUCGCGCCGCGACUUCCCGAUUCAUGAGGGAAGCCUCGGUCCACAUGGGGCGCACGCGGGACGCAACGCCCGCAGCCCCAGGUCGCUUCGGCAACGAGCACCACCGCCGCGACCGUCGAGCCCACCUCGACGAGAAGGUGCGCCGAGGCUACCACCCCAGGCGUGGGGGGCGCUACGACAGCGGGGAGGAUCGGAGUCCCUCGCCCGAACCACCCGGUCCGCAAGCUUUCAGCCGGGCCAUACGACGGGCACCGUUCCCGACCCGGUUCCGAACCCCAACUACCAUCACCAAGUAUUCUGGGGAAACAAGGCCGGAACUGUGGCUCGCGGACUAUCGGCUGGCCUGCCAGCUGGGUGGAACGGACGAUGACAAUCUCAUCAUCCGCAACCUCCCCCUGUUCCUCUCCGACGCCGCCCGAGCCUGGCCGGAGCAUCUACCUCCUGCGCAGAUCUCCAACUGGGACGACCUGGUCAAAGCCUUCGCCGACAACUUCCAGGGCACAUACGUGCGCCCUGGGAACUCCUGGGAUCUCCGAAGCUGCCGCCAACAGCCGGGAGAAUCCCUGCGGGACUUACCAGAUAAUAAUGAUAGUAAAAGAUACAAAUAUUGAUAAGCUAAACUACCUAAUCAUCUCUACCGAAGUACCGAGUGACCAAUCAGUACUCAAAUGUUCAUGCCUAUGCAUCAAAUUUGUUCUGCCGCAUAUAUCUGGCGAUUUUCGAAGCAGCGCACCGAGCUGCCCAACAUCACCGACUCAGAUGUCAUCGGCGCGUUCCUCGCCGGCACCACUUGCCGCAACCUGGUGAGCAAGUUGGGUCGCAAGACUCCCACCAGGGCGAGCGAGCUGAUGGACAUCGCCACCAAGUUCGCCUCUGGUCAGGAGGCGGUCGAGGCCAUCUUCCGAAAGGACAAGCAGCCUCAGGGGCGCCAGCAGGAAGACGUCCCCGAGGCGUCCGCUCAGCGCGACACCAAGAAGAAGGGCAAGAAGAAGUCGCAAGCGAAACGCGACGCCGCCGACGCAGACCUUGUCGCCGCUGCCGAGCACAGAAACCCUCGAAAGCCUCCCGGAGGCGCCAACCUGUUCGACAAGAUGCUCAAGGAGUCAUGCCCCUAUCAUCAGGGUCCUGUCAAGCACACCCUUGAGGAGUGCGUCAUGCUUCGGCACUACUUCCACAAGGCCGGGCCCCCGGCGGAGGGUGGCAGAGGCCAUGACAAUGACAAGAAGGAGGGCCACAAAGCAGAGGAAUUCCUCGAGGUCCACGACUGCUUCAUGAUCUAUUGUGGGCAAGUGGUGAACGCCUCGGCUCGGCACCGCAAGCAAGAGCGCCGGGAGGUCUGCUCGGUGAAGGUGGCGGCACCAGUCUACCUAGACUGGUCCGACAAGCCCAUCACCUUCGACCGAGGCGACCACCCCGACCGCGUGCCGAGCCCAGGGAAGUACUUGCUCGUUGUCGAUCCCGUCAUCGACAACGUCAGGCUUACCAAGGUCCUCAUGGACGGAGGCAGCAGCCUCAACAUCAUCUACGCCGAGACCCUCAGGCUCUUGCGGAUCGAUCUGUCCACGAUCUGGGCCGGUGCGGCGCCCUUUCACGGAAUCAUCCUCGGGAAGCGCGUCCAACCCCUUGGGCAACUCGAUCUGCACGUCUGCUUCGGGACUCCCUCCAACUUCCGAAAGGAAACCCUCACGUUCGAGGUGGUCGGGUUCCGAGGAACCUACCACGCGGUGCUGGGGAGACCAUGCUACGCCAAGUUCAUGGCCGUCCCCAACUACACCUACCUCAAGCUCAAGAUGUCGGGCCCCAACGGGGUCAUCACCGUCGGAUCCACGUACCGACACGCGUAUGAAUGCAACAUGGAGUGCGUGGAGUACGCUGAGGCCCUCGCCGAAUCCGAGGCCCUCAUCGCCGACCUGGAGAGCCUCUCCAAGGAAGUGUCAGACGCGAAGCGCCACGCCGGCAACUUCGAGCCAGCAGAGGCGAUUAAGUUCGUCCCUCUCGACCCCAGCAACGACGCCUCCAAGCAAGUCCGAAUCGGCUCCGAGCUCGACCCCAAAUAGGAAGCAGUGCUCGUUGACUUUCUCCGCGCGAACGUCGAGGUUUUUGCAUGGAGUCCCUCGGACAUGCCUGGCAUACCGAGGGAUGUCGCCGAGCACUCGCUGGAUAUCCGAGCUGGAGCCCGACCCGUGAAGCAGCCUCUGCGCCGAUUCGACGAAGAAAAGCGCAGAGCCAUAGGCGAGGAGAUCCACAAGCUGAUGGCUGCAAGGUUCAUCAAAGAGGUAUUCCAUCCCGAAUGGCUAGCCAACCCUGUGCUUGUGAAAAAGAAAGGUGGGAAAUGGAGGAUGUGUGUAGACUACACUAGUCUAAACAAAGCAUGUCUGAAAGUUCCCUACCCUCUGCCUCGCAUCGAUCAAAUCGUGGAUUCCACUGCUGGGUGCGAAACCCUGUCGUUCCUCGAUGCCUACUCAGGGUAUCACCAAAUCAGGAUGAAAGAGUCCGACCAGCUCGCGACUUCUUUCAUCACACCUUUUGGCAUGUACUGCUACAUCACUAUGCCAUUUGGUUUGAGGAAUGCAGGCGCGACAUACCAAAGGUUCAUGAACCACGUGUUCGGAGAGCACAUUGGUCGAACGGUCGAGGCUUACGUCGAUGACAUCGUAGUCAAGACGAGGAAAGCCUCUGACCUCCUCGCUGACCUUGAAACGACAUUCAAGUGUCUCAAGGCGAAAGGCGUAAAACUCAAUCCCGAGAAGUGUGUCUUCGGAGCCCCCCGAGGCAUGCUCCUGGGGUUCAUCGUCUCCGAGCGGGGCAUCGAGGCCAACCCGGAGAAAAUCGCGACCAUCACCAACAUGGGGCCCAUCAAGGACUUGAAAGGAGUUCAGAGGGUCAUGGGAUGCCUUGCGGCUCUGAGCCGCUUCAUCUCGUGCCUCGGCGAAAGAGGCCUACCCCUGUACCGCCUCUUAAGGAAGGUCGAGCGCUUCACUUGGACCACCGAGGCCGAGGAAGCCCUCGGGAACUUAAAGGCACUCCUUACAAGCGCGCCCAUCCUGGUGCCCCCCGCUGCGGGAGAAGCCCUCUUGAUCUACGUAGCUGCAACCACUCAGGUGGUCAGCGCCGCGAUCAUAGUUGAGAGACAAGAAGAAGGUCAUGCAUUGCUCGUCCAGAGGACGGUCUACUUCAUCAGUGAGGUACUGUCUGAGACCAAAAUCUGCUACCCGCAAAUUCAGAAGCUACUGUACGCGGUAAUUCUGACGCGGCGAAAGUUGCGACACUACUUCGAGUCUCAUCCGGUGACUGUGGUGUCAUCCUUCCCCCUGGGGGAGAUCAUCCAGUGUCGAGAGGCCUCGGGUAGGAUUGCGAAGUGGGCGGUGGAGAUCAUGGGCGAGACAAUCUCGUUCGCUCCUCGGAAGGCCAUCAAGUCCCAAGUCUUGGCGGACUUUGUGGCUGAAUGGGUCGACACCCAGCUUCCAGUAGCUCUGAUCCAACUAGAACUCUGGACCAUGUUUCGACGGGUCGCUGAUGAAAACAGGAGCGGGCGCGGGCCUGCUCUUCAUCUCACCCCUCGGGAAGCACCUCCGCUACGUGCUGCGCCUCCAUUUCCCUGCGUCAAACAACGUGGCCGAGUACGAGGCUCUGGUUAACGGGUUGUGCAUCGCCAUCGAGCUAGGGGUUCGGCGCCUCGACGCUCGUGGCGACUCGCAGCUCGUCAUCGACCAAGUCAUGAAGAACUCCCAUUGCCGCGACCCGAAGAUGGAAGCCUACUGCGACGAGGUUCGGCGCCUAGAAGACAAGUUCUACGGGCUCGAGCUCAACCACGUCGCUCGACGAUACAACGAGACUGCGGACGAGCUGGCUAAAAUAGCCUUGGGGCAGACAAUGGUUCCCCCGGACGUCUUCUCCCGAGACCUACAUCAACCCUCCGUCAAGACCGACGACACGCCCGAGCCCGAGGAGACCUCGGCCCAGCCUGAGGCACCCUCGGCCACCGAGGGUGAGGCACUGCGCGUCGAGGAAGAGCGGAAUGGGGUCACGCCUAAUCAAAACUGGCAGACCUCGUACCUGCAAUAUCUCCACCGAGGAGAGCUACCCCUCGACAGAGCCGAAGCUCGGCGACUGGCGUGGCGUUCCAGGUCUUUCGUCUUGCUGGGUGAAGAAAAGGAGCUCUACCACCGCAGCCCCUCAGACAUCCUCCAGUGAUGCAUAUCCAUCACCGAAGGUUAGGAGCUAUUGCAAGAAAUACACUCGGGGGCUUGCGGUCAUCACGCAGCACCUCGAGCCCUCGUUGGAAACGCCUUCCGACAGGGUUUCUACUGGCCAACCGCGGUGGCCGACGCCACUAGGAUUGUACGCACCUGCCAAGGGUGUCAAUUCUACGCAAGGCAGACAGACCUGCCCGCUCAGACCCUGCAAACAAUACCCAUCACCUGGCCGUUUGCUGUGUGGGGUCUGGACCUCGUCGGUCCCUUGCAGAAGGCACCCGGGGGCUUCACGCACCUGCUGGUCGCUAUCGACAAAUUCUCCAAGUGGAUUGAGGUCCGACCCCCAAACAGCAUCAGGUCCGAACAGGCGGUGGCGUUCUUCACCAACAUCAUCCAUCGCUUUGGGGUCCCGAACUCCAUCAUCACCGACAACGGCACCUAGUUCACUGACAGGAAGUUCCUGGACUUCUGUGAGGACCACCACAUUCGGGUGGACUGGGUCGCCGUAGCUCACCCCAUGACGAAUGGGCAGAUAAAGCGUGCCAACGGCAUGAUCCUGCACGGACUCAAGCCGAGGAUCUACAACGACCUCAACAAGUUCGUCAGGCGAUGGAUGAAGGAACUCCCCUCGGUAGUCUGGAGUCUGAGGACGACGCCAAGCUGGGCCACGGGCUUCACGCCGUUCUUUCUAGUCUAUGGGGCUGAGGCUAUCUUGCCCACAGACUUAGAAUACGGCUCCCCGAGGACAAGGGCGUACGCCGACCGAAGCAACCAGACCAGCCGAGAAGACUCACUGGACCAGCUGGAAGAGGCUUGGGACAUGGCCUUACUACACUCGGUAAGGUAUCAGCAGUCUCUACGACGCUACCACGCCCGAGGGGUUCGGUCCCGAGACCUCCAAGUGGGGGACUUGGUGCUUCGGCUACGACAAGACGCCCGAGGGCGCCACAAGCUCACGCCUCCCUAGGAAGGGCCGUUCAUCAUCGCCAAGAUUUUGAAGCCCGGAACAUACAAGCUGGCCAACAGUCAAGGCGUGGUCUACAACAACGCUUGAAACAUCCGACAGCUACGUCGCUUUUACCCUUAAGAUGUUUUCAAGUCGUUCAUAUGCCUCAUUUUCUUUACAUACACAAAUAAAGUCUAACCAUCAAGGAAGGGGCAGCAUUGCCUCGGCAAAGCCCGACCCUCCCUCGGGGGCUAGAAGGGGGGAACCCCCUCUGCGUCAAAAUUCUCCUCGGAAAAAGUCUUUCUGCCAGAACGUCUUUCGCGCUUUUUGACUACUUCGAUAGCGGGAUCCUGAAAACGACGGAGUACAAGUAAGCGGCAAGGCUGACCGAGCCGAGGGACUCCUACGCCUCCGGGAUACGGAUACCUCACUCAUCACCUUCUGCGAUAAGUAACUCACGCUCGGAUAAGCGAUUCCGCUGACCGAACAGGUCUUAACGCUCAAAAACUUUUCUGCCAAAACGAUUUUUCGUGCCUUCUCGACUAUAUCGAUAACAGAAUACUGCAGACAAGUAAGAGUACACGUAAGCGGCGAGGCCGACCGAGCCGAGGGACUCCUACGCCUUCGGGAUACGGAUACCUCACUCGUCACCUUCCGUGAUAAGUAACUCUCGCUCGGAUAAACGAUUCUGCUACCGACAAACAAGUCCUGAUACUCGAAACAAGAGGAAAAGAAACACAGCUUUAUAACGCGACAACGAUAUGUUUGGGCCUUGGCGGCCGCAAAAAACAUACACGCACUACAGAUAAACUGUUCCUGCUGGUUCAGACAUCAGUAGGGGGAGCAGCAGCACCCUCGGCAUCGACUCCACCUUCGGCGGAAUCCGACCCGGCCUCGGACAGCAACACGGUCGGAGGAUCUCCACCUCGAAGGAAGAUGUCAGCACCGUGCCUGGGCCAUUGCUGCCAGGGUCUCCUCCGGGAACCCGGCCGGAGCAGACGACUUGAUCAGCCGCUCCGUAGCCUCAGCCAGCUGUCCCCCGAGGACCUCGGCCCGGCUCAUGGCCUCGGCAGCCCGACUCCGGCGUCGGUCCCACCAGCGGACGACCUAGCCAAGUUCCAGCCGCCGCUGCUACGCCUCUUCGUCCUGGGAAGUCACCUGCUCCUGGGCCGACAAAGUUUCUUCUCGAGCCAACUCCGCCUCUGUCCACGCUGACACCGCUGCCUCCGGCUUUGGCUCAUCGCAGAGCAGCCGAGGUUUCCUUUAACUAAACAAGAGAGGCCUUGGGUGGCAAGGCCGACCGAGCAGAGGUACUCCUACGCCUCCGGGAUACGGAUACCUCACUCGUCACCUUCCGCACAGGGCAACUCACACUUGGUUAAGCGGUCCAGCUAGCCAACAGGCGAGUCCUGGUGCUUGAAAUGAGGAAGAAACACGAUAUUACACCCAAAAUGCCUAGAUGUUCAGGCCCCGACAGCCACAAUGAACAAACGCCGGCACUCAAGGUGCCAUUACAAACGGAACUCCGGUUCCACUCCCGCAGGUACGAACAACCCCCACAUCGGAGGGCCUGCGGGACGACAAGCUCCGGGUGGCUCAUCGCCGAUCACUGCAGCAGCGACGACGACCUCCGCUCCGGGCGGCCAAACAGCAGCAGCGAUGACCUCAGGGCAGACGCUGCUGCGGCAAGGUUCUCGCCCACGUCCCCACUCGAGGGGCGAGGACAAGCUAUCAAAGCCAAAGAGUCGGAGGCUCGGAGCGCAGAUGGCGCCGACGAUCUCGUCGGCGGCGAGGCCUUCUCCGGCGGCCACCACCUCAGCACCGACGGCGGUGUCCACCCGCCCACCGGCAGAUCCCCGCUCGAGUCCUCCCGGACGGGCGAGCACCGACCUCCGUGUGGAGGCGUCGUGCCGGAGCGAGGGCAGGACAACCCAAGAACACGAAUGCCGCCCUAGCAACGCGCGACGUCUUGGGCGGUCCCCCGGUGCGCGCGGCGCAACAGCCGCCCGCACGACAGGCAGAUAGCCACGCUCCGCCCAUCGGUGGGAGGUGGCACCGGAAGCUGUGCCAGAGCCAGCUGAGCCAGCGAACCAGGCAUGCUGGAGCUGACGACGCUUGCGGCCGAUCGGCCCCGCGUUGUCGAAGUCCGCCCCCUCCGCUAGGCCGGUGAGCGCCCUCUCCCUUAAUUGCUGAAGGAAGAGGUGGCCCGCCGGCCCGCUGGCCCGUACGGGAGGUAGGGCUCCGGCUCAGCUCGCCCUCCGCCCCAGCAAGGAUGAUGAAGAUCCUUGAAGCUGAGGGCGGGGCAAAGGUCGCAGCCCGGCUUGCUUCUCCCCACCAUCGGACUGGUGGUCACUGUCUUGGGUGACCAUUGGUGAGGGGAUGCAGCCGGGCUGCCUGAUGAAAAUCCUUGAAGCCGAGCGAUGGCUGAAAGGUACCAACUUCCGCGAGGUUGCGCUCCUCCAACAACAUCAAGACGAAAGCAACGCAGGCGCUCCCCAUCCGGGGGCUCGGAAGGUGGAAGGGUGCAAUGCAUGAGGGGAGAGCGAAGGCAUGGCUGCCACCCAAGGGGGUCGCCCCCUUUUUAAAGGCGACUCUCCCCACUUGCGUCCCCAAGCGUCGCGGACUAAGUCUUCACCAACACGCUCCAAGGUCCUCCCCCUACGACACGGGGGCUAGGUCCCACGCGUCAUGCAAGCUGGCCUGGGAUAGAAGCAGCCAGACCGCCGCGCGUGGGGCUUGUAACCGCCCAGCGGUUACAAGUACUCCUCCAUCUUCGCCUAAACCAGCGGGUGAAAGGGCGGACCGCCAUGCAGGCGGCAUGCAACUGCACCAAGGGGAUGCACCCUUUCGACUUCGACGCAUCCGGCAUGGCGGCCCAGGCCCACACGUCAUGUAACUGGCGCGACAGUUACUACGUGCGAAAAACUCUACCGCCACUUACGCCAAUGUCGCGCCUCCUCGACUGCGAAACCGGUGCCGCGACUCGAGGCACCCCUGCGCACGGCCCAGCAGUGCCGGCCAAGCGCACCGGUCAUGGGUCAGUCAGCCGCGGGAGAAGGCGCGACAGUCGAUAUGGCCAAAAGUGGACCGGCAGUAAUGGCGGCGGUAGGCGGGCGGAAGCAGCAGUCAAAUCGUCUGCAGGCUCACGUCCCCUCCUGGGGCAGCAGGGGAGCCCUCUCCCACGGCGUAAAGACGAUGCGCCCGUGUUCCGUCCCUCGAACGGCUCGCACAAUGGCUGCCCCGCGAACCACCCGUCCCGUCGCAUUAACUCCGCGGCAGGGCAGGCGACACCUUUGGCAGGCGAAGCGGGCGACGCUUCACCUCCGCCAUGAUGACCGCGUCAAAAAAAAGGUGCGCCUCAUCGUUCAAUUUCGUAUCCUUUUCCUCUUCCCCUUUCUCUCUCUUGCUACAGGGACCGGGAAAGGGGAUACUCCGAAAGGGAUCCUUCUCCGCGAAGGAAGCAGGCCCCGAGCCCUCCUACUGAUCAGAGGUUCGAAGACUGGCCCCUCGGAAGGGUUCGACAGCCGCCUCAGAGCACUCGGGCUCCGCGCCCACUACUGGUCAGAGGUUCAAAGGCUGGCCCCUCGGAAGGGUUCGACAGCUGCCUCAGGCCACUCGGGCUCCGCGCCCACUACUGAUCAGGGGUUCGAAGGCUGGCCCCCCGAAGGGUUCGACAGCCGCCUCAGAACACGCAGAGCGAGGGAUGACUCUAGGUACGUCCGAUACAUGGCCGAGGCUCGGGCUACGCUUCCGAGGUACCCUAGGACAUUUCCGAGACCAGCAGGAGCGAUUCUGUAACGGAAUCCCAUCAGAGGGAGGCAUCGAGCCCACGGACCCUAUCAAACGAGACCGGGUCCGGCAAAUCACUUGUAGGUACUUUUGGAGCGCGCCUCUGGGCCACUAGCCGACCCUUAUCAAACGGGGCACGGGCAUCCACUCGGAUCACCCGUUAGCAGCUCACUAGAGACACCAUGUUCGGCGCCCUCCGAGGGCAACAUGGCGCUUUCCCCCCUCCUCCUUGCGGAAAGGCGACGAAUGGGCGUAUGAUAAAAGCCGAGUCAGUCCUUGACCGUCCUCUCGCUCUGUGCAGAGGCUCGGGGGCUGCUCUCGCAAACCCAGCUUCGGCCAAACCAUUGACAGCGUCAACAUACCAGCCCGAGAACUCGGAACCUGACCAUGCACCCGGGUUACGAUCAGAUCGCAUGAGGGAACAACCAGACCGACCUAGGCGUCACGAAAGACGCUAAGACCUCGGAGGAGUCAAACCACUCCUCCAAGGCCUCGGGGGCUACACCCGGCGGGUGCGCUCGUGCGCACCCACCGGAACGAAAUGCAACCGAGAAAGGCCGGUCCCCUUACAAAAAAGUGCGACAAAGCCUCCAAGCGAGUACUAACACUCCCUUUGAGGCUCGGGGGCUACUGUCGGGGACCAUAAUUAGGGGUACCCCAAGACUCCUAAACUCGGCUGGUAACCACCAUCAACACAAAGCUGCAAAGGCCUGAUGGGCGCAAUACAGGUCAAAGCUCCGCCCACUCAAGGGACACGAUCUCGCCUCGCCCGAGCCUAGCCUCGGGCACGAACAACAGACUCAGGUGGAUUCACGUCUCGCCCGAGGGCCUCCUCAAGCAACGGACGCACCUUCGAACUCGCCCGAGGCCCAGCUCGGGCAGGCUUUGCGGAGAAGCAACCUUGGCCAGAUCGCCUCGCCAACCGACCGUAUCACAGGAGCAUUCAAUGCAAGGAUUGUCUGAAACCUUAUCCUGACGCGCGUUCCUCAGUCGACAGGGCCGAAGUGACCGCAGUCACAUCGCCCCUCCACUGACUGACCUGACAGGAAAACAGCGCCGACUGCCCUGCUCCGACUGUUGUGCCACCCGCCAGGGUGAGGCUGACAGCAGCCAAGUCCAGCCUCAGGCGCCAUAGGAAGCUCUGCCUCACCCGACCCCAGAGCUCGCCCCCUGCCUCGACCUUGGACGACGGACUCCGCCUCGCCCGACCCCAGGGCUCGGACUCAACCUCGACCUCGAACGACGGACUCCGCCUCGCCCGACCCCAGGGCUCAGACUCAACCUCAACCUCGGACGACGGACUCUGCCUCGCCCGACCCAGGGCUCGGACUCAACCUCGACCCCGGAAGACGGUCUCCGCCUCGCCCGACCCCAGGACUCGGACUCAGCCUCGACCUCGGAGGAGUCACCGCCUCGACCGACCUUGGGCUCGGACCGACCACGUUACAAGGGGGGCCCAUCAUUACCCUACCCCUAGCUAGCUCAGGCUACGGGGAACAAGACCGGCGUCCCAUCUGGCUCGCCCCAGUAAACAAUGAUGGCACCCCGCGUGCUUCAUGACGACGACGGUUCUCAGUCCCUUACGGAAGCAAGGAGACGUCAGCAAGGACCCGACAGCCCUGACAGCUGUGCUUCUACAGGGCUCAAGCGCUCCUCCGACGGCCAUGACAUCACAUGAACAGGGUACCAACACCUCUCCAACAGCCACGUCGACAUGUACAUAGGGCUCUGGCUCCUCUCUGCUAGACACGUUAGCACAUUGCUACACUCCCCAUUGUACACCUGGGCCUUCUCCUUACGUCUAUAAAAGGAAGGUCCAGGGCCCUCGUACGAGGGGGUGGCCGCGCGGGAGAACGGGCUGACGGACAGGCUCUCACUCUCUCUCUCUCUCCCUCGCGAACGCUUGUAACCCCCUACUGCAAGCGCAUCCGCCCUGGGUGCAGGAUAACACGAGCUGCGGUUCCCUCUUUUGUUCCCCCUUGUGUUCCAUCUCGCGCCGACCCAUCUGGGCUGGGACACGCAGCGACAAUUUACUCGUCAGUCCAGGGACCCCCCGGGGUCGAAACACCGACAAAUAAGUACUCUGAUUAUAUUGUGACAUUUAUCUCUAUACACUAUGUUAUUAUAUAUGUUGUCUUCUUUGGCGCAUGUAUGAGAUGCACCCGACUUUGUCCUUUAAAUCCGGGUGUGACACUAUGCCUAGUAACUUUCAUGUGUAUGGAUUUUCAAAUGUUAUGGGGAAAGGUGGAGAAAAACACAUAGUUUGAUUUGGACCUAAGGUUUUGAAUCAUGAAAUUUUUACUAACUAGCUAUGUUUAGGCCUUAGUAGUUUUCAAUCCAUGGACAGUUUGAGGAUAAUCCCUAUAUCAAAUCUAUAGAGCUACAACAGGUGUGCAAACUUGAUUAACUCACUUUACCCUAGAACCCAAUGGAAUCUAGUACAAAACACAUCCAAAGUGAGGCUAGCAGAAUUUUGAAUUUCAGACUUGGAACAGUACUUUGAAAACCUGAAAUUCAGUGUUUGGUGCUUAGUUUGAAGCCCUUUUGUGGCCAAAUUAGGGGGUUUAAGGCUGUGAGCUAUAUAGACAAAUUAAAGACCAUUUGAUGGUGAUUAAAUGUUCUUAAGCUAGGUGGGCUUGGUCCUGUACAAAAACUGGAGGAAACGUUGCUCAAAGUUGGGCUAUCAUUCUGUUGUCAACUGAAUAUCGUUCAGUUAACCAAGUCAGAGAGGUGUUUGUUGGUUCAACUUUGAAACCUCCUCGCGACUAUUCUAGGGAAUUAAGGAGCCAUGUUUAUGUAGCAAAGUUGAAGAGCAGAUAUUGGUGUGCAAGUUUGCUUAACAGAGAUUGGCUUGGUACUAUGCAAAAUAAGGAGUAAAAUGCCCUCAAAGUUGCCCUAUCAGUCUAUGAGUCUGGGUUUUAUUUCAAUUAACUGAAACUUUGGUCCCAGUGCGAUGUGCCUCACUUUGGAGUAUUAUAGCUUGAUAUUUGUGCAGUGUUGGCACUAGAAGUUUAUAGCAAAGUGGAAGACCAAUGUUUUGUGAGCAACUUUGAUGUGGAGAGGUAGCUCUGUCCUUAUAGAGAAAUUGAAGAAAAAGAGGGAUGAAUUUGACUCUGCAGCGGACUAAAGAAGUUCAGAGCAGUUUUUGUGUAAUCUGAAAAUAGCAAAAGUAUCCCCAUCCACUAGCUCUUCUAGGGAGUUCUGGGCGUGGUACGUUAAAGAAGACUUUUUGGGGGGGUUCACCUGGGAUAGCUCCAUUUUACUGAAGAUAAAGCUGAAGAAUUGGAGACUUAUCUAAGGGUGACUCAGCUGCUUCACUAUUGAUGUGUUGUCCAACAUGCAGUGAAGAAGUAUCCAGUAUUGUGUUGUGUUUCACCUCGACGUGGUGAUCAUACAUGAGUUAUGUGGAGUAUGUUGGCACUGUUUCUUCCCCCCCCCUAAAGCCCCAAUGAAGUCAGAGCCGAGCCACUAGCUCAUAUGCCCUCCCAGGGUGUGCAAAAGUCCAAACUGAACUCCCUCAUGUUUCAACUGACCCCAUAAUCUCCUCACCGUGUCAUACCAUUCCUCUACAUCUAGAUUACCCCCUUGACGUUUCCCAACCCUUUGGCUCCAUUACUUCAACCGGAACGUGAAGUUCUUGGUGUGUGUUGUGACCACGUCCACCGAAUCACCCACCUCUCCGUGGCCAGCCUCUCCGGGAAGGUAAUAUGAUCGAUUUGCUCACGUUUCAUAACCCAUGUAUAAUAAUGAUGCUCAGGGCGUUGCUUAUUUGAACGCUACCGUAGUACCCCAGCCAGAACGUCGUCGGAUCUGUCUAGAACGCCGCCGCGGACCAGCUUCGCGUGGAUUGGUUAAACCAUGCUCUUUCUAGGUAAAUCUAUGUGGCCAGCGUGUGCUAGACAGAUCACUGAGACUCGUCAUAACCAUGGAUCGAAAGCUACAGUAUCCUAGACCCUGGUUCAGGCUCGCCGGAGCUCGGCUCUCUGCCUCCGCCACGGUCGGAGAUGCUCUAGGUUAUUUGGGAUCGAUUAACCUAGGGGACGUAACCAGUUAGUCUCGAGGAUUACGUCCGAGUGCUUAGUUUCGUCGGAGGAGGACAUCACCGGCGAGUUGAUGCAGCAGAUGGCCGGAGCUCGUCAGGGUUUGAUCGUGGACUGGCGUUUGUAAAUGGAAUGAAAACGGAGGGCCUCGGUGCACAUGUCAGCGAAACAAAAGAAUAGGGCGCCGGACCCUUGUGUGAUUAACCGAUCGGGUGAGGGGGUUUCUGUAAACAUUCCUGGCGCGGGCGGCCGGUGCGGGGGCCGUUUUCUUUGUGCUCGUGGGCCGAACCAGCACCUUUCGGCCCAGUGACCGUUGAAACUUUUUCUUUUUCUUUUAUCCAGCAGAUUGUAAAAUACACUAGAAAAUAUAGAAAAAUGUUACAAUUAUGAAACCAAUUUUGUAGAGUCCACAAAAUUAUUUAGUUCCUAAUAAAAUGAUUCUCAGGAUUUUUGCAGCAACAAGUAAACUUUCUGAUUAUUUAAAAGUACCCCUAAGAGGCUUAAAAAGAUUUUAGAAAUAAAACCAUAGGUCCAAAAAUCAUAAAAAUUUGUGGAAAAUUAUAUACCCUUAGAAUAGCUCUUGGUAAAAAUUUGAGCUUGUUUGGAGUUACUUUACCCAGAGAACCAGAAACUAGCUAAGUACAAAUAUUAUAAACCCUAAGUUUUGAUACUAAUCUAGGGUUAGGUCAAACUCAAGUUAUACAAAAUGCUAAGCAGCAAGUUGAUCAACUUUAGCAUAUAUAGUUCUCUGAUUUUCUAAAGUAAUCUUAAUUUGAUCCCUUGGGGCAAAGACUAUAUUACCUAGAAAUAUGUGUAUAAUUAUCAUAUGCUUAAUUGAGAGUAUGUGAGCUUUCCACCUCUCCCUAAGUGAGAGAUUGCAUAGCAUAUCAUUACAUAAGCAUUCAUAUAUAUAUAAUUGACUUGUAGAGCACCUAGAAGAAGAAAUUGAAGUGGAAGUGGAAGAGGAGCCAACUCUUCAAUCUGAGGUUUCUCCAACUGAAGGUGUUCCUGAAGGUCUUUCUGAAGGUGCUCCAGUAGGGUUUGCUGCCAACUGCAAUAUCCUAGUAGAAGAGCCUGACUCUCCUCCUCAUCAAGGCAAGCCCCGGUGCAUUUUCCACCUCCUUGUUAUUUUAAAACUUUUAUCACUUAUAUGUUGCAUUAGGUGGUAGGAGUUGAAUGAUUAAACCUUUGCUGCAUAACUUCCUUGAGAUAUUGAUUAUCAUCCUUGAUACCUGAUUUGAAAAGCUGGUUGUGCUUAGUAUUCUUAUAGACAAGGAACAA